rnacentral:rRNA from 1 species
GUUAGGAAUAUUGGACAAUGGGCGAAAGCCUGAUCCAGCCAUGCCGCGUGAACGAUGAAGGCCUUCGGGUUGUAAAGUUCUUUAGCCGAUGAUUAUAAUGACUGUAGUCGGAAAAUAAGCCCCGGCUAACUUCGUGCCAGCAGCCGCGGUAAUACGAAGGGGGCGAGCGUUAUUCGGAAUCACUGGGCGUAAAGCGUGCGUAGGCGGCUUUGCAAGUUGGGAGUGAAAGCCCAGGGCUCAACCCUGGAAUUGCUCUCAAAACUGCAAGGCUCGAAUUCGGGAGAGGAUAGCGGAAUUGUCAGUGUAGCAGUGAAAUGCGUAGAUAUUGACAGGAACACCAGUGGCGUAAGCGGCUAUCUGGACCGAUAUUGACGCUGAGGCACGAAAGCGUGGGGAUCAAACAGGAUUAGAUACCCGGGUAGUCC